GGUGAUGGGAUUGCAGAAGUGCAUUCAUCCAAGAACGAGCUAGAGGUUUGUGUAGAAAGCGAUUCUCUCCUUGUCAAACAAAGAGAUGUACCAAAGGAAGUCGACACAUUUCAAGGAGACGCUGCUUUUAUGGUGCGCCUUCUGGAGAGAAACAAGUCCGAGGAAGCG